AAAGAAACCAACAGGGAUUACCUCAGUAACGGCGAGUGAAGCGGUAAGAGCUCAAAUUUGAAAGCUGGCUCCUUCGGGGUCCGCAUUGUAAUUUGCAGAGGAUGCUUCGGGAGCGGUCCCCAUCUAAGUGCCCUGGAACGGGACGUCAUAGAGGGUGAGAAUCCCGUAUGGGAUGGGGUGUCCGCGCCCGUGUGAAGCUCCUUCGACGAGUCGAGUUGUUUGGGAAUGCAGCUCUAAAUGGGUGGUAAAUUUCAUCUAAAGCUAAAUAUUGGCCGGAGACCGAUAGCGCACAAGUAGAGUGAUCGAAAGAUGAAAAGCACUUUGAAAAGAGAGUUAAAAAG
rnacentral:rRNA from 1 species